GGGUGUAAGGACAAUCUGGCUGCCCUAUCUGUCACUCCAGUGAUGGAUUUGACUGAUCUGGCUUAGGUGUGUGUUGCCUUCCUCCCUCACUGCUCCACAUCUGUCCAUCCUAAAGCUAUGUGCUUGGUUAAAGAUGACCUUUUGUGAAUAGAGGAAGAACCGUCUCAGGUCAAGGGUAUCCAGGUAGCUGCAGUCUCCUGCUAGAGCCUCCAAACAAGCUCUCAGGAAGGAACUCAUGUCGGGCUUGCAUGGUACCCCUUGGGUAGAGCACAGAAAGCCUAAAAAAUAAGGCCAACCAAGAGUGAAAAGAGACACAGCUCUGAGUGACUCUUCUCCACCUU
ensembl:misc_RNA 7SK 7SK RNA